rnacentral:rRNA from 1 species
AAUGAAUGGUCCAGGGUAGGCAAAAACUAAUAGCUCUUUUAUGAUUAUGUGAUAGGUGGUGCAUGGCCGUUCUUAGUUCGUGGAGUGAUCUGUCUGCUUAAUUGCGUUUCAAAACAACUGAUACACAGAGUCUUGGCACAGUUCAGUUUAAUGGCGUCGAGUAUCUUUGAUUUCGACAGUAGUCCAACUCGGUUCGCCAGGGUCUCUUUUGAACGCAACGGACGUGAUCGCAACCCUUUGUUGAGUGAUGUCAGCACUCUACGUCUAUCCUAGCUCGUUGAUCGCAAGUGAGAGUUGGGUGGGCAAACUCAGGGGACAGCUUCAACUAUUCUUCUUCAAACUAGAGGAAGGUUGCGGCAAUAACAGGUCU